ACCAGGUGCGCCCCGGUGGUCCGGAGUGCAGGCUUCAAGCCUGUAGGCGGUCAGAAACCACAGCGGUUCGAUUUCACUUUCCUGGU
rnacentral:tRNA from 1 species